UACAGGGGGGGCAAGCGUUGUUCGGAAUUACUGGGCGUAAAGGGCGCGUAGGCGGGAUGGCAAGUCGGUCGUGAAAUCCUUCGGCUCAACCGAAGAACGUCGAUCGAUACUGCUGUUCUUGAGGGUUGCAGAGGAGACUGGAAUUCCCGGUGUAGCGGUGAAAUGUGUAGAGAUCGGGAGGAACACCGGUGGCGAAGGCGGGUCUCUGGGCAAUUCCUGACGCUGAGGCGCGAAAGCGUGGGGAGCAAACGGG
rnacentral:rRNA from 1 species